CAUAUAAUAAAGUCGUGGAGUUGAUGUCAGUUGUUUGUUUACUUUUCGGUAUAAAUUACUGCAGUUCUCUCUUUGGUAUCUAUAGCUUUUUGAAUAUUUACUUCUAAGUUCCUCUUUAAAUUGCCAUAUUCCGUCAAACAGAAAAUGCAAAUGCUUGUUUGGAAAAUUUGAAAAAUUGAAUUGGUUAUUUGUAUUCUGUUGAUUGUUCAAGAAUCAAAAAGAUUGGAACACUCAAAAUCCUAUCGAG
rnacentral:lncRNA from 1 species